UGGGGAAUUUUGGACAAUGGGCGAAAGCCUGAUCCAGCAAUGCCGCGUGUGUGAAGAAGGCCUUCGGGUUGUAAAGCACUUUUGUCCGGAAAGAAAUCCUUGGCUCUAAUACAGUCGGGGGAUGACGGUACCGGAAGAAUAAGCACCGGCUAACUACGUGCCAGCAGCCGCGGUAAUACGUAGGGUGCAAGCGUUAAUCGGAAUUACUGGGCGUAAAGCGUGCGCAGGCGGUUUGCUAAGACCGAUGUGAAAUCCCCGGGCUCAACCUGGGAACUGCAUUGGGUGACUGGCAGGCUAGAGUAUGGCAGAGGGGGGUAGAAUUCCACGUGUAGCAGUGAAAUGCGUAGAGAUGUGGAGGAAUACCGAUGGCGAAGGCAGCCCCCUGGGCCAAUACUGACGCUCAUGCACGAAAGCGUGGGGAGCAAAACAGGAUUAGAUACCCUGGUAGUCCACGCCCUAAAACGAUGUCAACUAGUUGUUGGGGAUUCAUUUCCUUAGUAACGUAGCUAACGCGUGAAGUUGACCGCCUGGGGAGUACGGUCGC
rnacentral:rRNA from 1 species